AAAGACAGUAUCAAAUCACUUAAAAAUCUUCAGAAAUGAACUUUAAUAAAUUAAUUAACUCAAAGUACUAAGAUAGUGUUAGAAAAGUAAAAACUUAUUUACCAGACGCGGCCUCACAGAGGGAAUAUUAAUUAAAACAUGAAACCCGUACUAAAAUUUAUUGAGGCAUAGUUAGUCAGUUUGACUUUGUUGUGAAUGGAUUAUUAACUUCUAAAAUCUUAAAACGUAAGUGCUCUUCACCAAUGCUUAGUAAGUAC